rnacentral:rRNA from 2 species
CCGGUGACAAACCGGAGGAAGGUGGGGAUGACGUCAAAUCAUCAUGCCCCUUAUGACCUGGGCUACACACGUGCUACAAUGGACGGUACAACGAGUCGCAAAGUCGCGAGGCUAAGCUAAUCUCUUAAAGCCGUUCUCAGUUCGGAUUGUAGGCUGCAACUCGCCUACAUGAAGUUGGAAUCGCUAGUAAUCGCGGAUCAGCAUGCCGCGGUGAAUACGUUCCCGGGCCUUGUACACACCGCCCGUCACACCAUGAGAGUUUGUAACACCCAAAGCCGGUGAGAUAACCUUCGGGAGUCAGCCGUCUAAGGUGGGACAGAUGAUUAGGGUGAAGUCGUAACAAG